ACUUAAUAAAUUCUUCCCUCCUCACCCUUCAAUGUGACCACGUGCCUAAUUUUUCCUGCUCAUGAGACAAGAACUCUGAUUUAGCUGAACUAGGGAGCAAAAAUUCUGCAUCAUUUUGGCCUAUACGGGGGUUUGUCAGAAGGCUCUAGGAAAGAAAACUGGAACUGAGGCAGAUGACAACGGAAGUUAAGAGACAUAGCACAGAUGGAGUCUCGCUUUGUCUCCAGGAUGGAAUACAGUGGCACAAUCUUGGCUCACUGAAACCUCCACCUCCCAAGUUCAAGGGAUUCCCUGCCUCAGCCUCCCAAGUAGCUGGGACUAUAGGCACACCGCCACCAUGCCCAGCUAAUUUUUUGUAUUUUAGUAGAGAUGAGGUUU